CCUUCUGAGUAUCAGGAAACAAAUUUUCAAUGUGAGAGUGUGCAACUGAGCACUGACACCAUUUUCCCAGGGAAUUGUGUAGUUACCAUCCUUAUGGAAAUCCAAAAGCUAUUUUGACAUGAUCUGGGACAAUUGGCUCUCUGUGACCCUACUUGAGCAAAGUAGUUGGACUAGGUGACCUCCAGAGGUCUUUUACGAUCUCAUCCACUGUGUAAUCAUGUGAACAUAUAACCACAUCAGUUCCUCUAUCAUCACCUACAUUUCAUUGCUACAAAACUCUGAGCUAAAAUAGGGUCAUUUGGAAACACUGACCUUUCAAACCUACUUCAUAUUGAAUCCAUGAUAAAGGUAGUUCCAAGUCUAUGACAAAGUUGUAAAGGUGGGCAUAAAGAAAAAAAAAAAAAAAACAUGCACAAAGUUGAGCAAUGACAGUGGGUGUGACACAGAGUAAAAGAACAGCUGGAUAUCAAAGCAAUCACUUUCCAGAAUACCAGAAUAAAGGCACUUACUUCCUGUACUGUACUUGGGGUCUAGAUGUGAUAAAGGGGCGCAGGAGUGUCUGUACACGACCUUCCCAGCACCAAA